rnacentral:rRNA from 1 species
UCCACGCCCUAAACGAUGUUCACUAGUCGUCGGAAUGCUAGUCAUUUCGGUGAUGCACUUAACAGAUUAAGUGAACCGCCUGGGGAGUACGGUCGCAAGAUUAAAACUCAAAGGAAUAGACGGGGACCCGCACAAGUGGUGGAGCAUGUGGUUUAAUUCGAAAAUACGCGAAGAACCUUACCUAGCCUUGACAUUGAAGAAACACAGUAGAGAUACAGUGGUGCCCUUCGGGGAAUCUGAAAACAGGUGCUGCACGGCUGUCGUCAGCUCGUGUCGUGAGAUGUUGGGUUAAGUCCCGCAACGAGCGCAACCCUCGUCCUUAGUUGCCAGCAGGUUAUGCUGGGCACUCUAAGG